UCACUCUGACGCCUCCUACCCUGCCCUUUCGGUGUCAGCUUCCUCUUCGGUUCCGUCAUACGUAAGCUACUGGUUCUUCUCUUUCUCUCUCUCUCUCUCUCUCUCUCUCUCUCUCUCUCUCUGCCAUGCUCUGUGCUCAUGACCAUAGAGCCAUGGUAAAUGAAAUGAACAAGGGUCAUAUACUUUUUUAUAGUAUUGGAAAUGUAUGUAAAUAAACUUGACUCUUUUUAAUGAAUAAAUAUCAAAAUAAUAAACAACGAUAUCUUUUAUAUUUUUUCUUAAAAAAUAUCUUUUAUUGUUUUAUGGUGGCCAUUGAGCUAUGGGCUCACUGUGGGUGCCUGCCUUCGAGCCGGUGAUUCAGUCAUGGUGGUGGUCGUUGAGCCGUGGUGAAUCUCAUGAUGGCCAUUGUGCCAUGGCAAGCUCUAGGGUGUGGGCUCUCGUGAUGGGCUGUGUGUGAUCCCAACUUCUCGCGUACAAUCGUCUUGGUGUUUCGAAAAAAAGAUAAAAACACGUUACAAACAUGUUUUCUCCUUGUUGGACUAAAUUUUGGGCUGUGUGGACAAUCAUUGCUUGGUUUAUGUUUGUUGAUGCUAGAGGAGCUGUUCCCACUACAUGUUGUGUACAAAUUUCUAGUCUUUACGGAGUCCAGUCUUUAAUAAGCUCCCAAGUCCCAACUAUUUUGUUUGUUUUCUUUAACACGAGUAUCAUUUUGCAUGCAGGCUGCACGAGCUAGUGGCCAGUAAUGCUGUUGUUGGCAACCUGGAGACAACAACUGCACCAACAAUCUGGUUUAAUUCACCUCCACAUGGAGACAACUCCAGCACCAAUAAGGCUGUUGUUGGCCCGUAGGCAGGUGCUCUUGAAUCUUUGGUGCAACUAACACCAUUCUCCCAA
rnacentral:lncRNA from 1 species